rnacentral:rRNA from 1 species
AUUGAACGCUGGCGGCAUGCUUUACACAUGCAAGUCGAACGGUAACAGGCCGCAAGGUGCUGACGAGUGGCGAACGGGUGAGUAAUGCAUCGGAACGUGCCCAGUCGUGGGGGAUAACUACUCGAAAGAGUAGCUAAUACCGCAUACGAUCUAUGGAUGAAAGCGGGGGACCGUAAGGCCUCGCGCGAUUGGAGCGGCCGAUGUCAGAUUAGGUAGUUGGUGGGGUAAAGGCUCACCAAGCCAACGAUCUGUAGCUGGUCUGAGAGGACAACCAGCCACACGGGGACUGAGACACGGCCCAGACUCCUACGGGAGGCAGCAGUGGGGAAUUUUGGACAAUGGGCGCAAGCCUGAUCCAGCAAUGCCGCGUGCAGGAAGAAGGCCUUCGGGUUGUAAACUGCUUUUGUACGGAACGAAACGGCUCUGGUUAAUACCCGGGGCUAAUGACGGUACCGUAAGAAUAAGCACCGGCUAACUACGUG